UUUGACCAUUAAUUUUGUGAUAUUAUAAGGGAAGCCGAGCUUCCCUUGCAGUCUUAAAGAAAUCGCCUCUGGUACUUCAAAUUUUACCAGAGGUUUUUUAACAUUUGCCCAGACUUGUUGAGAUCGGAACAGAAAAUUGAUCCAUAUGGGAAAAGGUGGUGAAGGAUCAGUGAUGAGGACAACAGAUGAAAGCAGAGCAUGGAUGCAGGAGUGUGUUAAUAUUGGAGCGGACGUAAGGGAGACCACUCAUUUAAUGUCAGCUGAAGGAGAAGCGUAGGCUGUCACAGACUGGGAGGGAAAACAGAGAAGAGAGUCAGAGCUGGAUGACAGUCUCUCCACAGUCAAGCUAUUUACAUGACAGCCAGGCAAUUGCACAGGAGCAAACUUUCAAAGCAUCAUUACUGAAAUGCUUCAGUAUCAAUGGCCUACUUUUCUCAAAUUUCACGAUUUUUCACAAAAACCUCUUUCAUGCGAGUUAAAUGAGAUGAAUUGGUGGAUACAGUGUAUAAGGUGAAUGUACAGUAUUUGGCCAUGUACUGUUGAACCACUGUAAUAUUUUUGCAGAUGAAUGAUUACUUUUACAUACUCAGUGGGAGCUUUAAUAGAUUCGAGAAACAGAGAGAAAAAUACACUCACUAAAGACUUUAUUACUGUAGGAACUCUUGUACACCUACUCAUUCAUGUAAUUAUCUAAUUAGGCAAUUAUGUGGCAACAGUGCAAUGCAUAAAAUCACUGCAGUUCAGGACAGCAGCUUCGGGUGAUGAGCACAUCAACCGCCAGAAUGUGGAAAAUGAUCCCAGGCAUUUUAACAAUAGCAUGCUUGUUGGUGCCAGGUAGGUUGGUCUGAGUAUAUUUAUUUACAGCUGCUGAUCUCCUGGGAUUUUUAUAAAUGACAGUCUCUCCAUUUUUUUAAGAAAAAACAUCCAGGACCUCUGUUUUUUGAUGAGAGAGGUCAACAGAAAAUGGCCAGACUAGGUUGAGCUGUACAGAGGCUACAGUAAUUCGUAUAGAUUAAGUGGUAGCUCAGUGGUUAAGGUUCUGGGUUAUUGAUCGGAAGGUCAGGGUUUCAAGCUCCAGUGUCUUGGGCCCUUGAGCAAGGCCCUUAACUCUCUGUGCUGCAGGGGCACUGUAUCAUAUAAACUGUGACAAGUAUAAAGCACAAAGAUUUACUCUGUACUAGGGGUGUAUCAGUGCACAAAAUUCACGAUUCUGUAGGUACUUUGGUUUUUUUAAUCACUGUUUGGUACAAUUUCGUUACGGUUCGGGG